rnacentral:lncRNA from 1 species
AACUUUGGACCAUGGUCUACAGCAUGCUUUGUAUUAGUUGGGUCCUGUUGGCUCAGUGAGAGAUGAAAUUUGGGCUUGCAAGGACUAGAGGUGCAAGAGGAAUCAAGCGGAAGUUAUUUCACUUAACAGCUUUCUAAUCAUGAUGGCUCUAGUUGUAAUAUUCCAUAUAGGCAAAUCUUGAUAACAAAGGUUCCAACUCGCAUUUUGUUUUUUUUUUGCAUGGAAAGCUAGUAGGGGUUGUAUUCUUACUAUUGACAAACUCCAAAGAAGAGGAAAAAUUCUGAUGAAUGCUUG